rnacentral:rRNA from 1 species
UACGUAGGGUGCAAGCGUUGUCCGGAAUUAUUGGGCGUAAAGAGCUUGUAGGCGGUUUGUCGCGUCUGCUGUGAAAUUUCGGGGCUCAACCCCGAACUUGCAGUGGGUACGGGCAGGCUAGAGUGUGGUAGGGGAGACUGGAAUUCCUGGUGUAGCGGUGAAAUGCGCAGAUAUCAGGAAGAACACCCGUGGCGAAGGCGGCUCUCUGGGACGGUACUGACGCUGAGACGCGAAAGCGUGGGGAGCGAACAGG